rnacentral:rRNA from 1 species
AUGCGAAUGCUCUACAGGUUUUUUUAUCAGCUUCAUGUUUCAGUUGCAGUGUUCGUUAAUCAGUCAGUUGAUUCAGUUUGGGUUGAAAUGGUGCAACUGACAGAAUACAGGUUUCACCUUCUUCAGAUAGAUGAGAAGUACACCUUCAGACAGAUGAAAAGUACACGAGUAUACCUUCAGAUGAAAAGAAAGACAGUACUACAUCUUCAGGCAGAUGAAAAGAAAUACACGAGUAGAGACGAUGAUCUUUUUGGUACAAUUAGAGAGGAUAUAUAUAUUGUACUAAUACAUUGUGUUGGUAAAUAA